rnacentral:rRNA from 1 species
AGGAAGGUAGUGUAGUUAACACCUGCAUUAUUUGACGUUACCUACAGAAGAAGCACCGGCUAACUCCGUGCCAGCAGCCGCGGUAAUACGGGAGGGUGCGAGCGUUAAGUACGGAAUUACGUGGGACGUAAAGCGCAUGCAGGCGGCCUGUUAAGUCAGAUGUAGAAAGGCCCGGGGACCGUUAACCGUACGGUAAAUUGCUAUUUAGUAAACGUGGCGAGGCUAGAGUCUUGUAGAGGGGGGUAGGAAUUUCAGGUGUAGCGGUGAAAUGCGUAGAGAUCUGAAGGAAUACCAGUGGCGAAGGCGGCCCCCUGGACAAAGACUGACGCUCAGAUGCGAAAGCGUGGGGAGCAAACAGGAUUAGAUACCCUGGUAG